GUCAACGACACGCAAAUAGUUUACAUCGGAGACGGAGGAACUCGGUCGAUUAUCGUGUGGAACGUGCAGGACAAUGACGGCUACAGGGUGAAACUGCCGCGCCGUUCUUCCGCCGCAUUUACGGCGGGUUCCGUUUUGGAAGACGUAUUUUAUCUGAUUCUAAUUGCGAAUUCCAAUUGUAAUUACAUAUAUUACACCUAUUUGUCAAGCUCGGACAUGUUCAAAGUGCGCACCAAAGACUUGCGGAAACGGGUCAAUCCCAAGUGUAUGGUGACCGUUGGUCGGAAACCGUCUAAAAUGGUAAUAGUGGGAUCCGCUUACGAGUCCGUAAUAUAUUUCCGCCUCAAAGGACAGAACAAUUUAUACAGCUGGGACACAAAAGUCAGCCUGUUGGAAGAAAACAUAAUGUUGGUAAAUUCUUAUAGGUACCGGACCUAUAUUGCUAUACGUACGCGUAUGCUAUACGUAAAAUCGUAUGCAAAUACACCCGUGGCUGUUAAUUUCAAUGUAAACGUUAUCGACAAUGAUUUUAGGCGAAGAAAAGCAUAGACUGUCGUACAACAACGCACGUGGACGUCGACGAUAACGGAGUACUUUGGGUUUUAGAGAGUAACAUCGGCGAUUUCGUAAUCAAUGCGGCCGGGUGUUACGGACCCAGCACAAUGCUAAAACCGAUCACCGAGCAACCGGUACCCGCGUUACGGUUGAACAGAAAAUAAUAUUUUUUGAACUCAGAAUUUGUGCCGAACACUGACCAAUAUUAUAAAGGUCAUAAAAUGUCGAGUUCUAUGCAGUAAACUGCGAUAAACGAUUAACGAUUUGUAACUCGUUGCACUAUUUUUUUAAAUUUUUAAAUUUUUGUAAUUAUAUUAUUUCAUUGUAAUAAAUAAAUACACCUACUUUAACGAUCGGGAUAGGGAUAAAAUGGACAAUAAUAACGAUACAAAUAUUUUAGAUUAUAUUAUUUAGUGUUACACCGACAGGAAUAAACAUUAUAUAAAAUACUCCAGACACAACUUAUUGUUGUUGUCAAGAAUAAAAUGUCAAUGGAUACAUUUGAUAAAUUUAAAAAAGCUUAGUAAAAAAAAAUAAUAACCAAUUGUUUGGCCAUCGAAAAUGUAC